AACCCCAUGGGCCUAGGGAAGGCCCUAUAACAAUACUUUCGACACAGUUAUUAUCUCCGGUGCCUCCACCAUGUUACACACAGUGCUCACUGCUGAUUCUAAAAUGCGCCACCUAGUCAAAACAGGACAUAUGUUCUUCUAGGAAUAGAUCUCUUUCCAAUAUUUCUUCAUUCCACUAUCGUCAUCACCUCAUCAUACUUUCAUUGACAUUACAGGCACAGAUCCACAGAGCACUCUUCAAAUCAUCUACACAGUGGUUAUCCAACUAGGAUUAUAAAGGCACACAUUGACAUAGACCACUGUUGCAGUCAACGACACAGUCGCUAUCCAAGUAGCAUUAUAGAGCUGUCAUGCAACGCAACAACUGCGCUAUCUGCCAUCGCACAUCAACGAAGAAGUGCAGCCGCCCACAUUCCACCUCACGUCUGUCCGACCAGCUGCAAUCCUCGAGGACGCCCCACUGUACCACGAUUUCACUACGAUGUUUGACAAGAAGGAGCAGUGCGCGAGAUAGGCUAAUGAGCAGACUUCCCUCGCUUCAGUUUCGGAAGAAUGUUCCAUAUCGCGCUAAGCUGACCACUGCUGACCAUGACAGGCGUGCAUUGGACUGGUACAGGUUGGAACUGAACAUUGAAUAUGCUGGUGGUGACGCUUUCUGAUGAGAAGUUGGUCGUGACUGAUGCAGUAUCCUUGGACUUGUCCACAGCAUCGUUCAAUCAUUGCUCUCUGAGCUGCCUUGAUUCUGUACUUACCCAAAUACUAAGACCAAAUGCCUGUUGACUGUGCUUUAAGAGAGACUGGCGCCAUGCCUAGAGAUAUGACUGACCCCUAUUGGCAAAUUUGUAUGACUUUAUCUUGCCUACCUAGCUGCUGCCUAUAGUCUCCCUUUAACUGCGGAACACUUCAAAGUCGAUAAAAUGCCAUGUUCCACCUUUUAAUGU